CUGCAUUUCGUGCGUGCGUCGUAGUGUCGAGUUUUGUUCACGCUGUCGACCUUUACUGCGUUACCUCGCAUUGUGUGUUGUGUGUUGCGGUUACUGACGUAAGCGCAAGUUCUUCACUGAGUAUGAUGCGCGGCAGCGUGCAAAUAGUCACCAGAUGCCGGCCGUGCGACUCCGUUCUCUGCGACUCCUUUGUUCGGUGUGAUCGAGGGACGUGAUUCAUGCUUUGGAGACCCUCUUUAGACCGUGCCCUCAUCAAAUGUUUCCACACAUCAGUGAGUAGCAGCACCGCAAUCCUUACUCGACGACACGCUCUGUGGGCCUGGAAAAUGCCUUGACGUUCGAGCACUUCGGGAGCUAUACCGGCGGACAGCCGGACGCGGGUAGCUUGGCCGUUCCUUGCUCUGCACAUCGCUUGAAAACCGGCGGUCAUCCUGCAGCGUACGCUGCCAGCGUGCUUUCUUGCCAGAGCCGCCUCCCCUGCUGGUGAUGACCAUAUGCAGCCAAUGCUGAUGUGAACCUGAGUGAUGAACAAAUGCAGAUCUGCAAAGGAGCUGUCCUGAAGCACCAUGCUUACUCAAGUCAUGCAGCGAGAGUCAGCAUGCCUGGAAAAGUACUUCAAAGCACACCCAAUCUGGCUGACUGCACUACCUCAAGAAAACUGCCUUUCUACCAUCUGCAAGUUCCUAAGAAGGUACUUUAUGAAGCAAGCCAGCAGGGCGUACGUGUUAGGCAUGGCAGCACGGAGAACAAAUAAACGAGUAU